AGUGUUCAAAUUCAAAUCCCAGGGUCCAUUUCCCAUUGGGGAAUGGCUUCUCCAAACCAAAAUCCAGCCUUUAUCCAUGGCUUUGGGAGAUCAGGGGGGAUUUUGGGAUCCUGGAUGUGCAAAUUCAAGAUCCAAGGUUCACAUUUCCCCUGGGAAUUGCUCUUCCCAAACCAAAAUCCAUCCUUCAGCUGCUCAUUUGGGAGAUCAGGGGGAAUUUUGGGACCCUGGAUGUGCAAAUUCAAAUUCCAUUUCCAUUCCCCAUUGGGAAAUGACUUCUCCAAACCAAAAUCCAUCCUUCAGCUGCUCCUCUGGGACACCAGGAGGGAUUUUGGGAUCCUGGAUGUGCAAAUUUCAGUUCCAGAAUCCACAUUUCCCCUGGGAAUUGCUCUUCCCAACCCGAAUUCCAUCCUUUAGCCACUCCUUUAUCAGAUCAGAAGCCAAGGAAGGAUUUUUGGGAUCCAGUUCCAAGAUCCUUGUCCCCUUCCCUGGGAUGUUCCCAUUGUCCCAUCCUUUUCCCCCAGUUUUUGGAGCAGGAAAUCCCCUCUCAGGGGUGCCACUUGUGCCUUGUGGGAAUGAUCUGGUGUGAAAUGAGCUUUUUGCUGCCUUUUUUUUUUUUUUUUUUUUUUUUUUUUUUUUUUUUUUUUUUUUUUUGUGUCUUAACCUGAAUAAAUCCCUGUGCCAAAGGCUCCCUGUGCCUUAAAAUGGGAAAAUCCUGCUGGAUUCUCCUGGAUUUGGUGGGGUUGGAGGUCUCAGAGCUGGGAAUUUUUUUUUUCCUUGAGAAACUGGAGAGAGUCUGAACUGCCUGGAGAAUUCCCAUGGAGAUGAAAUUUUGGGAAUUUCAUGCUGAAGAGACAAAAUGUGGGAUAAUGGGGGGGAUUCCAGCUUGUGGUGAAGCCUCUGGAAUUCUCACUUCGUCCUCCUCUUCCUCUGGAUGCUUUUUGGGUAUUUGUGCCUUGGGAGAAGCUCAGCUCCUCCUUGGAGUAACCUGGGACAAAAAAAAAAUCCUGGAGAAGGGGUGGUGGGAAGGGGGUUGGGCAUCCUGGGAUGGGGGGAAAUCCCUGGGAACAAAAAUCAGGCAGGAUCUGUUGGGAAUUUGCUCCUGCUCAGGCUGGGAGUGAAAAAAUCCUCCUGGGAAAAGGAAAAUCCAUCCUGGGAGGAGAGAAAUCCUCCUGGGAAAAGGAAAAUCCAUCCUGGGAGGAGGGAAAUCCGUAAUGGAAAAAAGGAAAAACGUUUUUGGGAGGAGAGAAAUCCUCCUGGGAAAAGGAAAAUCCAUCCUGGGAGGAGAGAAAUCCUCCUGGGAAAAGGAAAAUCCAUCCUGGGAGGAGGGAAAUCCGUAAUGGGAAAAGGAAAAAAUGUUUUUGGGAGGAGAGAAAUCCUCCUGGGAAAAGGAAAAUCCAUCCUGGGAGGAGAGAAAUCCUUUAUGGGAAAAGGAAAAUCUUUUAUGGGAAAAGCAAAAUCCAUUCUGGGACUGAGCAAAUCCUUCUAG
rnacentral:lncRNA from 1 species